rnacentral:ncRNA from 2 species
CUCUUAUUCAGAGUGGUGGAGAUACAGGGAUCUGCGAAACCACAGCAACCCCCCAUUGAGGAAGGUGCUAACCUGAGCGAGUAAUCGAGCAAUAAGUA